CACUCCCACCAUCCACAUUUUUCCUACCAGUCAGGGAUCGAACCGGCCACCCUUCGGUCACAAGUCCAAUUCUCUAACCAGUAGGCCAUAGAUAGCCUCGCUGCUGGG